CAUUUUAAUUAUUUUACAAAAAGUAAUUAUGAGCAAUUCCACUCUAGGUAUAUACCCAAGAGAAUGGAAAAAUAUGUUCAUUUAAAAACUUGUAUAUUUACUGUCACAGAAACAUUAUUAAUAUCCAAAAAGUAGAAGCAGCCAAAAUAUCCAUCAACUCUUGAAUAAUCAGAAUGUGGCACACAGAUAUAAUGAAAUAUUAUUUGGCCAUAAAAAGGAAUCAUCACUGAUGUACGCUACAAUGUGGAUGAAUCUUGAAACAUUAUGCUAAGUGAAGAUGUCAGACACAAAAAGACACAUAUUGUCUUGUUCCAGUUAUACAAAAUGUCCAGAGUAGGCAAAUCCAUAGAGACAGAAACUUCAAUUUGUGGUAUAAAGGAAAAGAGCUCUGACCUUUCAAUCAGCAAAUCUAGGUUUCAGCCAAGUCACUUAACUCUCUUACUUAACUGUGGCGUCUUUAGGAUGCAGCUGAACUUCUCUAAGCCUUCAUAACCUCAUCUACAAAGUGAGGAUAUAAUGCCUUACAAAGUCACUGUGAGACUCACAAUAUAACAUAAAAUUAUUAUUUCAAAUGAAUAAAAUCUGAUAGUUAUUUUGCAUGCCUAAAAUGAUUUUUUAAAAAUCCUAAACUGUAUUGAAUAGCCCAUAACUUCACUGAAUAGUCCACAACUUUUUAUUGUUGCCAUGUUAUCUAACCAGCUUUUGUAUUGUCAUAUAUGAAUGACAUCUUGGGGCCACGUAGCACUUAUCCUGUAGGCACUAAUAGAACAGUACAGAGUUAUUUAAUUCCAAUCUUCACAAUGAGGGGUACAUGGCCCAACAGUUAUAAACACAGGCAUAGAACUGAGUUUAAGUCCAGGUUCUGCCACAGAUCUUGAACAAACCACCUAACCUCUCUGAACAUCAGUAUACACCC
rnacentral:lncRNA from 10 species